GGGACCGGCGAGGUGGCACAGGGAGGGCUUCCUGCCUUCGGGUCUCCCUGGCUUCCUGCGCCCUGGGAAGGUCCAGGAGCCUGCAGAGGGACAUCCGAGACCCACUGGGCCUUUGCCCGGGUGCCUGUCUUGGGGUGACCCUGGCAACACUGGGGCCCUCUGUUCACAGACGUGUGAUGGGGCAGGCGAGAUCAGGCGAGGUAGUUAGCACCACCACGUGAACCCCAAGUCCCACGCCAGCGGCCUACACCGACCCACCCGUUCUCGGGGGCCCAUGCCACCUGAACAAGACCAGGACGCAGAGCCGGGCUCACGGGGCUGCAGCACAGACACUGCCAGGUGCUCUGUCACAGAUGCCAGGCUGGGAGAGGUGAUGUUCUUGGGGUGGACGCGGUGGACAUGGGGGCCAAGAGCGCCACAGAAGCAAGCGCCCCAAAGCAGGAGGCAGGGAGCUGGGACACUGAUUACCCGCGCGCCUGCAGCCACGUCUUUCACCACUGUGGCUCUCUCCGGCCCCUGCUUCUGUUUGUCGUAGAAAAAGAAGAAAAGAAGUGGGCUGUCAAAAUACCCUGCCGCGGGAGCUGCCACCGCUGCCACCGGCUGCCAGCACGCGCCCGGGCUGCUUAAAUGACAUUAGAGAGAUUAAGCAAACACGCAGGAUAAUGGCCGAGCUAAUGCUAAUUGAAUAAAAUCGGAAUGUGAAAUUA